AAACUGCGAAUGGCUCAUUAAAUCAGUUAUAGUUUAUUUGAUAUUACCUUACUACUUGGAUAACCGUGGUAAUUCUAGAGCUAAUACAUGCAAAAAAGGGGGACUUCUGGAACCUCUGUAUUUAUUAGAUAAAAAACCAAUCCCGCAAGGGUUCCUUGGUGAUUCAUGAUAACUUUUCGAAUCGCAUGGCUUUACGCUGGCGAUGGUUCAUUCAAAUUUCUGCCCUAUCAAGUUUCGAUGGUGGGAUAGAGGCCCACCAUGCUUUCAACGGGUAACGGAGUAUUAGGGUACGAUACCGGAGAGGGAGCCUUAAAAACGGCUACCACAUCUAAGGAAGGCAGCAGGCGCGCAAAUUACCCAAUCCCGACACGGGGAGGUAGUGACAAUAAAUAACAAUCCAGAGCCUAUGGUUUUGGAAUUGGAAUGAGAACAAUUUAAAUCCCUUAACGAGGAACAAUUGGAGGGCAAGUCUGGUGCCAGCAGCCGCGGUAAUUCCAGCUCCAAUAGCGUAUAUUAAAGUUGUUGCAGUUAAAAAGCUCGUAGUCGAAUUUUUGGCUGGUCCGGGCGGUCUCCCCUCACGGGGUGCACUGUCUGGUCCGGCCACUCCUUCUGGCAAACCGUGGUGCUCUUCACUGGGUGCUGCGGGGAACCAGGACUUUUACUUUGAAAAAAUUAGAGUGUUCAAAGCAGGCUUACGCCUGAAUACAUUAGCAUGGAAUAAUAGAAUAGGACUUUGGUUCUAUUUUGUUGGUUUUCAGAACCGAGGUAAUGAUUAAUAGGGACAGUUGGGGGCAUUAGUAUUUAAUUGUCAGAGGUGAAAUUCUUGGAUUUAUGAAAGACUAACUUCUGCGAAAGCAUUUGCCAAAGAUGUUUUCAUUGAUCAAGAACGAAAGUUAGGGGAUCGAAGACGAUCAGAUACCGUCGUAGUCUUAACCAUAAACUAUGCCGACUAGGGAUCGGA
rnacentral:rRNA from 1 species